UAUGUGAUCGUCUCUCGCAUAUCAAUAAGCGGAGGAAAAGAAACUAACAAGGAUUCCCCUAGUAACGGCGAGUGAAGCGGGAAGAGCUCAAAUUUGAAAUCUUAAAGGGUUUCCCUUUACGAAUUGUAGUUUAAAGAAGUGUUUUCUGUUGAGGUUUUGGUAAAAGUUCUUUGGAAUAGGACAUCAUAGAGGGUGAGAAUCCCGUAUUUGACCUUUACUUUCAACUUUGUGAUACACUUUCAAAGAGUCGGAUUGUUUGGGAAUGCAGUCCAAAAUGGGUGGUAAAUUUCAUCUAAAGCUAAAUAUUGGCGAGAGACCGAUAGCGAACAAGUACCGUGAGGGAAAGAUGAAAAGAACUUUGAAAAGAGAGUUAAACAGUACGUGAAAUUGUCAAAAGGGAAGCGUUUGACACCAGUGUUGUUUUUCUGAAAAUCAAUUAAAGAACUGUUUAUGCUAAGUUGUUUAGACUUUAUCAGCUAACUGUUUAGUUUUAGGCUUUUCUUUAAUGCACUUUUCAGUUAACAAGUCAACAUCAAUUUCUUUUGCUGUAAAAAAGCUUGAGGAAGGUGGCUUGAGAUUCGUCUUAAGUGUUUAUAGCCUCUUGCCUAUGCAGUCGGAGAGAUUGAGGUCUGCAGCGUAGAUCCUUCGGGGCUAAAUGCAUUUGUGCUAAGUUAUAGCAUUUUAUAGACAACUUGUUGACUAUGAUUUGUCUUGUAGCUUACUCGCUUAUGUUAUUUUACCUACGCUUAGGAUGUUGACACACGCGCGUGCUCG
rnacentral:rRNA from 1 species